AUUGAACGCUGGCGGCAGGCCUAACACAUGCAAGUCGAGCGGAAACGAGUUAUCUGAACCUUCGGGGAACGAUAACGGCGUCGAGCGGCGGACAGGUGAGUAAUGCCUAGGAAAUUGCCCUGAUGUGGGGGAUAACCAUUGGAAACGAUGGCUAAUACCGCAUGAUGCCUACGGGCCAAAGAGGGGGACCUUCGGGCCUCUCGCGUCAGGAUAUGCCUAGGUGGGAUUAGCUAGUUGGUGAGGUAAGGGCUCACCAAGGCGACGAUCCCUAGCUGGUCUGAGAGGAUGACCAGCCACACUGGAACUGAGACACGGUCCAGACUCCUACGGGAGGCAGCAGUGGGGAAUAUUGCACAAUGGGCGCAAGCCUGAUGCAGCCAUGCCGCGUGUAUGAAGAAGGCCUUCGGGUUGUAAAGUACUUUCAGUCGUGAGGAAGGUAGUGUAGUUAAUAGCUGCAUUAUUUGACGUUAGCGACAGAAGAAGCACCGGCUAACUCCGUGCCAGCAGCCGCGGUAAUACGGAGGGUGCGAGCGUUAAUCGGAAUUACUGGGCGUAAAGCGCAUGCAGGUGGUUUGUUAAGUCAGAUGUGAAAGCCCGGGGCUCAACCUCGGAAUAGCAUUUGAAACUGGCAGACUAGAGUACUGUAGAGGGGGGUAGAAUUUCAGGUGUAGCGGUGAAAUGCGUAGAGAUCUGAAGGAAUACCGGUGGCGAAGGCGGCCCCCUGGACAGAUACUGACACUCAGAUGCGAAAGCGUGGGGAGCAAACAGG
rnacentral:rRNA from 1 species